ACGGCCAUAUCAAGUUGAAACAUCAGUUCCCGUAUAAUCACCGAAGUUAAGCAACGUUGAGCCUGCUCAAUACCUAGAUAGGUGACUGCUUGGGAAUACCAGGUGGUGCAAG